CGGGAAUAUUGCGCAAUGGAGGAAACUCUGACGCAGUGACGCCGCGUGCAGGAAGAAGGUUUUCGGAUUGUAAACUGCUUUAGACAGGGAAGAAACAAGACAGUACCUGUAGAAUAAGCUCCGGCUAACUACGUGCCAGCAGCCGCGGUAAUACGUAGGGAGCAAGCGUUAUCCGGAUUUAUUGGGUGUAAAGGGUGCGUAGACGGGAAAUUAAGUUAGUUGUGAAAUCCCUCGGCUUAACUGAGGAACUGCAACUAAAACUGAUUUUCUUGAGUGCUGGAGAGGAAAGUGGAAUUCCUAGUGUAGCGGUGAAAUGCGUAGAUAUUAGGAGGAACACCAGUGGCGAAGGCGACUUUCUGGACAGUAACUGACGUUGAGGCACGAAAGUGUGGGGAGCAAAC
rnacentral:rRNA from 1 species